GGCUGGGUGGUAUAAUGGAAUAAUAUUGGUUUGGGAUACAGAAGACCUGAGUUCAAAUCCCAGCUCUGCCU
rnacentral:tRNA from 1 species